GGCGCACGGUGGCUUAGUGGUUAGCACGUUCGAAUCACACCAUCCAGGGUCGGGGGUUCGAUUCCCACCGUGGCCC